rnacentral:rRNA from 1 species
GGGUAGCCGGCCUGAGAGGGCGACCGGCCACACUGGGACUGAGACACGGCCCAGACUCCUACGGGAGGCAGCAGUGGGGAAUAUUGGGCAAUGGACGNAAGUCUGACCCAGCGACGCCGCGUGCGGGAUGAAGGCCUUCGGGUUGUAAACCGCUUUCAGCAGGGAAGAAGCGAAAGUGACGGUACCUGCAAAAGAAGCACCGGCUAACUAUGUGCCAGCAGCCGCGGUAAUACAUAGGGUGCAAGCGUUGUCCGGAAUUAUUGGGCGUAAAGAGCUCGUAGGUGGUUAGUUACGUCGGGUGUGAAACUCUGGGGCUCAACCCCAGACCUGCACUCGAUACGGGCUAGCUAGAGUUUGGUAGGGGAGACUGGAAUUCCU